AAAAAUGAUAUUUCAUCAUUAUCACAAUAACAUGUUCCAAGUAUGAACCAAAAUGUCAGUCAUAGUCCUCCAGAAUAACAUCGUAACAUCGUUAAUUCCUCAAAAAUAACUUUUUCAACUAAGAACAAAGAUUUUGUUAGUGUUAGCUUUAUUUAUAAAAAAAAAAUUAUUCAUCAGAAAGAGUAAACAAAACUCUGAAAUUUAUUAUAAUCCAAA
rnacentral:lncRNA from 1 species